AGAUGCAGUCAGGCAGCUCACCCCUGAGGACACACCAAGAGCAGGCGAGGAGAUGCGGGCCAGCAGGGAAAAAACUGAAAGCAAGCUCUCCAGGAGAUAUUCGCAUAUCCGUGUUCACUGCAGCAUUAUUCACUACAGCCCAAAGGUGGAGGCACCCCAAUAUCCAUCCAUCUGGGAUGGCCACACUAACCUAACAGAAGAUAGAUCAGCAGGAGAAAAUGCAUGCAAUUUUAAUUUUGUGUGUAUAGGCGUUUCAGAGAAAAGGAGUGAAAACCCCAAAAGCAGGGAGACACUGGCGCUUAUGCGCUUAAUAAAGGGUGAUAAACUGUGGAGAAAUAACUAGACAGAUGGGAAAGACUAGAGAUCUCUUCAAGAAAAUCAGAGAUACCAAGGGAAUAUUUCAUGCAAAGAUGGGCUCGAUAAAGGACAGAAAUGGUAUGGACCUAACAGAAGCAGAAGAUAUUAAGAAAAGGUGGCAAGAAUACACAGA
ensembl:lncRNA